rnacentral:rRNA from 1 species
UAUUGGACAAUGGGCGAAAGCCUGAUCCAGCCAUGCCGCGUGCAGGAAGACGGCCCUAUGGGUUGUAAACUGCUUUUAUACGGGAAGAAACACCCCCUCGUGAGGGGGCUUGACGGUACCGUAGGAAUAAGGAUCGGCUAACUCCGUGCCAGCAGCCGCGGUAAUACGGAGGAUCCGAGCGUUAUCCGGAAUCAUUGGGUUUAAAGGGUCCGUAGGUGGAUGGUUAAGUCAGGGGUGAAAGUCUGCAGCUCAACUGUAGAACUGCCCUUGAUACUGGCUGUCUUGAGUUACUAUGAAGUGGUUAGAAUAUGUGGUGUAGCGGUGAAAUGCAUAGAUAUCACAUAGAAUACCAAUUGCGAAGGCAGAUCACUAAUAGUACACUGACACUGAUGGACGAAAGCGUGGGGAGCGAACAGG